AAAAAGGUACCAAGAUUAUAAAAUGCCCAGAGCAAGCCCCCAGAAGGACUUCCUGUAGCUCAGAGAGACUGAGGAAGACUUGGAACUUGUGCUUUGCCCAGGGGGGCCCAUUAAACACAGCCCCUGAGAGCCUGUGACGGGAAACUUACGAUUUAAUGAUGUUUCCCAGUGUGUGGUCUUCUUUGUUGAUGGUGAAUAAACAGGCAUUGGGUACCUUGGUGUCCUUGUUAAUGGUGUUCUUCUCGCCCUCGAAGAGCAAGAACGACUCGAAGGCUGGAGGGGCGUUCAUGCUCCCGCCGCCGUUGCGUCCAGACCCCAAGGGUCCGCC
rnacentral:lncRNA from 1 species